rnacentral:rRNA from 1 species
GGUUAAGCGACUAAGCGUACACGGUGGAUGCCCUGGCAGUCAGAGGCGAUGAAGGACGUGCUAAUCUGCGAUAAGCGUCGGUAAGGUGAUAUGAACCGUUAUAACCGGCGAUUUCCGAAUGGGGAAACCCAGUGUGAUUCGUCACACUAUCAUUAACUGAAUCCAUAGGUUAAUGAGGCGAACCGGGGGAACUGAAACAUCUAAGUACCCCGAGGAAAAGAAAUCAACCGAGAUUCCCCCAGUAGCGGCGAGCGAACGGGGAGGAGCCCAGAGCCUGAAUCAGUGUGUGUGUUAGUGGAAGCGUCUGGAAAGGCGCGCGAUACAGGGUGACAGCCCCGUACACAAAAAUGCACAUGCUGUGAGCUCGAUGAGUAGGGCGGGACACGUGGUAUCCUGUCUGAAUAUGGGGGGACCAUCCUCCAAGGCUAAAUACUCCUGACUGACCGAUAGUGAACCAGUACCGUGAGGGAAAGGCGAAAAGAACCCCGGCGAGGGGAGUGAAAAAGAACCUGAAACCGUGUACGUACAAGCAGUGGGAGCACGCUUAGGCGUGUGACUGCGUACCUUUUGUAUAAUGGGUCAGCGACUUAUAUUCUGUAGCAAGGUUAACCGAAUAGGGGAGCCGAAGGGAAACCGAGUCUUAACUGGGCGUUAAGUUGCAGGGUAUAGACCCGAAACCCGGUGAUCUAGCCAUGGGCAGGUUGAAGGUUGGGUAACACUAACUGGAGGACCGAACCGACUAAUGUUGAAAAAUUAGCGGAUGACUUGUGGCUGGGGGUGAAAGGCCAAUCAAACCGGGAGAUAGCUGGUUCUCCCCGAAAGCUAUUUAGGUAGCGCCUCGUGAAUUCAUCUCCGGGGGUAGAGCACUGUUUCGGCAAGGGGGUCAUCCCGACUUACCAACCCGAUGCAAACUACGAAUACCGGAGAAUGUUAUCACGGGAGACACACGGCGGGUGCUAACGUCCGUCGUGAAGAGGGAAACAACCCAGACCGCCAGCUAAGGUCCCAAAGUCAUGGUUAAGUGGGAAACGAUGUGGGAAGGCCCAGACAGCCAGGAUGUUGGCUUAGAAGCAGCCAUCAUUUAAAGAAAGCGUAAUAGCUCACUGGUCGAGUCGGCCUGCGCGGAAGAUGUAACGGGGCUAAACCAUGCACCGAAGCUGCGGCAGCGACGCUGAUGCGUUGUUGGGUAGGGGAGCGUUCUGUAAGCCUGCGAAGGUGUGCUGUGAGGCAUGCUGGAGGUAUCAGAAGUGCGAAUGCUGACAUAAGUAACGAUAAAGCGGGUGAAAAGCCCGCUCGCCGGAAGACCAAGGGUUCCUGUCCAACGUUAAUCGGGGCAGGGUGAGUCGACCCCUAAGGCGAGGCCGAAAGGCGUAGUCGAUGGGAAACAGGUUAAUAUUCCUGUACUUGGUGUUACUGCGAAGGGGGGACGGAGAAGGCUAUGUUGGCCGGGCGACGGUUGUCCCGGUUUAAGCGUGUAGGCUGGUUUUCCAGGCAAAUCCGGAAAAUCAAGGCUGAGGCGUGAUGACGAGGCACUACGGUGCUGAAGCAACAAAUGCCCUGCUUCCAGGAAAAGCCUCUAAGCAUCAGGUAACAUCAAAUCGUACCCCAAACCGACACAGGUGGUCAGGUAGAGAAUACCAAGGCGCUUGAGAGAACUCGGGUGAAGGAACUAGGCAAAAUGGUGCCGUAACUUCGGGAGAAGGCACGCUGAUAUGUAGGUGAAGUCCCUCGCGGAUGGAGCUGAAAUCAGUCGAAGAUACCAGCUGGCUGCAACUGUUUAUUAAAAACACAGCACUGUGCAAACACGAAAGUGGACGUAUACGGUGUGACGCCUGCCCGGUGCCGGAAGGUUAAUUGAUGGGGUUAGCGCAAGCGAAGCUCUUGAUCGAAGCCCCGGUAAACGGCGGCCGUAACUAUAACGGUCCUAAGGUAGCGAAAUUCCUUGUCGGGUAAGUUCCGACCUGCACGAAUGGCGUAAUGAUGGCCAGGCUGUCUCCACCCGAGACUCAGUGAAAUUGAACUCGCUGUGAAGAUGCAGUGUACCCGCGGCAAGACGGAAAGACCCCGUGAACCUUUACUAUAGCUUGACACUGAACAUUGAGCCUUGAUGUGUAGGAUAGGUGGGAGGCUUUGAAGUGUGGACGCCAGUCUGCAUGGAGCCGACCUUGAAAUACCACCCUUUAAUGUUUGAUGUUCUAACGUUGACCCGUAAUCCGGGUUGCGGACAGUGUCUGGUGGGUAGUUUGACUGGGGCGGUCUCCUCCUAAAGAGUAACGGAGGAGCACGAAGGUUGGCUAAUCCUGGUCGGACAUCAGGAGGUUAGUGCAAUGGCAUAAGCCAGCUUGACUGCGAGCGUGACGGCGCGAGCAGGUGCGAAAGCAGGUCAUAGUGAUCCGGUGGUUCUGAAUGGAAGGGCCAUCGCUCAACGGAUAAAAGGUACUCCGGGGAUAACAGGCUGAUACCGCCCAAGAGUUCAUAUCGACGGCGGUGUUUGGCACCUCGAUGUCGGCUCAUCACAUCCUGGGGCUGAAGUAGGUCCCAAGGGUAUGGCUGUUCGCCAUUUAAAGUGGUACGCGAGCUGGGUUUAGAACGUCGUGAGACAGUUCGGUCCCUAUCUGCCGUGGGCGCUGGAGAACUGAGGGGGGCUGCUCCUAGUACGAGAGGACCGGAGUGGACGCAUCACUGGUGUUCGGGUUGUCAUGCCAAUGGCACUGCCCGGUAGCUAAAUGCGGAAGAGAUAAGUGCUGAAAGCAUCUAAGCACGAAACUUGCCCCGAGAUGAGUUCUCCCUGACUCCUUGAGAGUCCUGAAGGAACGUUGAAGACGACGACGUUGAUAGGCCGGGUGUGUAAGCGCAGCGAUGCGUUGAGCUAACCGGUACUAAUGAACCGUGAGGCUUAACCUU